rnacentral:lncRNA from 1 species
CACGAUGUGUGUGGUACAAAGUGGUACAGAAGCCAAAACUGAAUACUCGGGCAUUUGACACAGCUCCAGAGCACUCACAAUCAACACCUCCAUGGCCCUUUGGGUUCCUGGGAACAAUGGGAAAUGGAUCAUCUUGACUGAAGUUACCUGUAGCUCCAGCCUCACUGAAAACACUGUUUUGAUAUAGGCAAGUGGUUUGAAG